rnacentral:rRNA from 1 species
GAUCCUGGCUCAGGAUGAAUGCUAGCUACAGGCUUAACACAUGCAAGUCGAGGGGAAACGACAGAGGAAGCUUGCUUCCUUUGGGCGUCGACCGGCGCACGGGUGAGUAACGCGUAUCCAACCUUCCCGCAAGUAAGGGAUAACCCGUAGAAAUGCGGCCUAAUACCUUAUGUUUUCCUUAGAGGGCAUCUGAUGAGGAACAAGGAUCCGUCGCUUGCGGAUGGGGAUGCGUCUGAUUAGUUAGUCGG